AACGAACGCUGGCGGCGUGCCUAACACAUGCAAGUCGUGCGAGAAAGCGGGGGCGAACCCUGUGAGUAAAGCGGCGCACGGGUGAGUAACACGUAGGUAACCUGCCUCCGAGAUCGGGAGUAACCCUACCGAAGGAAGGCGUAAUACCGGAUAAGACCACAGGGCGUCUGGCCCUGAGGUCAAAGAUGGCCUCUGCUUGCAAGCUAUCACUUGGAGAUGGGCCUGCGUACC
rnacentral:rRNA from 1 species